UACGUAGGGGGCUAGCGUUGUCCGGAUUUAUUGGGCGUAAAGAGCGUGUAGGCGGCUUGGCAAGUCUGCUGUGAAAACUCGAGGCUCAACCUCGAGCUGUCGGUGGAAACUGCUUGGCUAGAGUCCGGAAGAGGAGAGUGGAAUUCCUGGUGUAGCGGUGAAAUGCGCAGAUAUCAGGAAGAACACCUAUGGCGAAGGCAGCUCUCUGGGGACGGUACUGACGCUG
rnacentral:rRNA from 1 species